rnacentral:tRNA from 1 species
GGGCCCGUAGUCCAAUGGCAGAACGGCCGCUUUGCACGCGGCAGACGGGAGUUCGAUUCUCCCCGGGUCCA